AUGGAGAGACUGAACGUGUUAAUCAGCAGGUGGACUGUUUUUUACGUGUUUCAUCAGUGCUCAUCCGAAGAAAUGGUGCAAUUGGUCUCACUUUGCGAGUUUUGGUACAAUACAGAUUGGCAUUCAGCACUUAACAACACUCCAUUGAAGUCCUUUAUGGCCAUGGUCCUCGGCACUUUGGAGUUUCUGCUUUGGAUUCAAUUGACCCCGUUGAUUUGCAACAAUGGUUGGUUGCUCGAGCAGUUGUUCAGCAGUCAGUGCGUCAGCAUCUGUUGCGUAUUCAACAAAGAAUGA
rnacentral:rRNA from 1 species